rnacentral:rRNA from 1 species
AGCGUCAUCUACACCCUCAAGCUCUGCUUGGUGUUGGGCGUCUGUCCCGCCUUAGCGUCAUCUACACCCUCAAGCUCUGCUUGGUGUUGGGCGUCUGUCCCGCCUU